rnacentral:piRNA from 1 species
CUUGGAAAGAAAAGAUGUCCGGAAGAG